rnacentral:rRNA from 1 species
UAGGGAAUCUUCCACAAUGGACGCAAGUCUGAUGGAGCAACGCCGCGUGAGUGAAGAAGGUUUUCGGACCGUAAAGCUCUGUUGUUGGUGAAGAAGGAUAGAGGUAGUAACUGGCCUUUAUUUGACGGUAAUCAACCAGAAAGUCACGGCUAACUACGUGCCAGCAGCCGCGGUAAUACGUAGGUGGCAAGCGUUGUCCGGAUUUAUUGGGCGUAAAGCGAGCGCAGGCGGAAGAAUAAGUCUGAUGUGAAAGCCCUCGGCUUAACCGAGGAAUUGCAUCGGAAACUGUUUUCUUGAGUGCAGAAGAGGAGAGUAGAACUCCAUGUGUAGCGGUGGAAUGCGUAGAUAUAUGGAAGAAUACCAGUGGCGAAGGCGGCUCUCUGGUCUGCAAACUGACGCUGAGGCUCGAAAAGCAUGGGUAGCGAACAGGAUUAGAUACCCUGGUAGUCCAUGCCGUAAAACGAUGAGUGCUAAGUGUUGGGAGGCUUCCGCCUCUCAGUGCUGCAGCUAACGCAUUAAGCACUCCGCCUGGGGGAGUACGACCGCAAGGUUGAA